GAUGAACGCUAGCGGCAGGCUUAAUACAUGCAAGUCGAGGGGGAUUAGUUUUGUAGCAAUACGAGACUAUGAGACCGGCAAACGGGUGAGGAACACGUACACAACCUUCCUUUAAGUGGGGCAUAGCCCAGGGAAACUUGGAUUAAUACCCCGUAACAUUAUGAAGUGGCAUCACUUUAUAAUUAUAGCUCCGGCGCUUAAUGAUGGGUGUGCGUCUGAUUAGGUAGUUGGCGGAGUAACAGCCCACCAAGCCUACGAUCAGUAACUGGUGUGAGAGCACGACCAGUCACACGGGCACUGAGACACGGGCCCGACUCCUACGGGAGGCAGCAGUAAGGAAUAUUGGGCAAUGGACGCAAGUCUGACCCAGCCAUGCCGCGUGGAGGAUGAAGGUCCUCUGGAUUGUAAACUUCUUUUAUUUGGGAAGAAAUUCUCGCAUUCCUGCGGGAUUGACGGUACCAGAUGAAUAAGCACCGGCUAACUCCGUGCCAGCAGCCGAC
rnacentral:rRNA from 1 species